rnacentral:rRNA from 13 species
GCCAUGCCGCGUGUGUGAAGAAGGUCUUCGGAUUGUAAAGCACUUUAAGUUGGGAGGAAGGGUUGUACGCUAAUACCGUGCAAUUUUGACGUUACCGACAGAAUAAGCACCGGCUAACUCUGUGCCAGCAGCCGCGGUAAUACAGAGGGUGCAAGCGUUAAUCGGAAUUACUGGGCGUAAAGCGCACGCAGGCGGUUUGUUAAGCUAGAUGUGAAAGCCCCGGGCUCAACCUGGGAUGGUCAUUUAGAACUGGCAGACUAGAGUCUUGGAGAGGGGAGUGGAAUUCCAGGUGUAGCGGUGAAAUGCGUAGAUAUCUGGAGGAACAUCAGUGGCGAAGGCGACUCCCUGGCCAAAGACUGACGCUCAUGUGCGAAAGUGUGGGUAGCGAACAGGAUUAGAUACCCUGGUAGUCCACGCCGUAAACGAUGUCAACUAGCCGUUGGGGAUCUUGAAUCCUUAGUGGCGCAGCUAACGCACUAAGUAGACCGCCUGGGGAGCA